GAUUUCGCUGAAGACGCAGGAGCUUUACGCUCUGGUGUUUUUGGCUCGGUACCUGGAUCUGUUCACGGAAUUUAUCUCCGUGUACAACAGUAUAAUGAAGGUGGUGUUUAUAGUGAGCUCUCUUGCAAUUGUAUGGUGCAUGAGGAGGCACCGUGUUGUGAGACGCUCUUAUGACAAAGAACUCGAUACUUUUCGUCAUUACUUCCUUAUUGCUGCCAGUUUUGUCUUGGCUCUGUUGGUGCACGAGAAGUUCACAUUCACAGAGGUGACUUUCUUAAACAUUGAUCUCGUAAUUGCAGUGUUGUUGGUUUUUUCUUUUCUCUCUCUUUCUGUGUAGGAAACUAGGACCUAAGUUAGCUUGUUUGAAAGAAGAAUAUUCUGUGCGACGAGGUUUCAUAUACGAGACACAUCUUGCUUGUGUGCAUUUGAUGGAGUUCACAAAAUGUUUGUUGCCAUCCAUGGAUAACCGUAGAAGAAUCAAGGCCGAGUAACUUGGUAGUCUCAUGUGAAAAAUGCAAGCUGUCUAAGAAUCAUGUCGUAAAAGCUAAUCCAUAGUUAAGAAUAUGUAUAAAAAAGUUUAACCAAUUACUGAUUCAUUAAUGAUGGCUGGACAACCAGUCCAGCUAAACAAUUUUGAAUUACCAACUUUAUUUAAAUGUCGAGACUAAGAGGCACUUCAAACUGAAUGUAUGAUAAAUAAAAUUAUGGUUGCUGCACUUGUUGCCAUGACUGAUAGGAAGUAAUGGAUGUAACAAACUAACAAUAGCUUCCUAACAUUGUUCACUUCCACCCCUUUUCCCAAGUGGUUCUCUGCAGCAUAAACUUGCAAGUGAUGCUAUUAUAACUAACAGCACAUAUUCUAUUCUUUUACAUGCAAUUGAGAACAACAGGUGAUUCAAUGUGUUCUAGCUCUCUCCUGCAUUCUUAAAUUACAUGAAUCAUCUGCUUUAAAUUUCUUACAACUCGUUGCAGAUCUUCUGGGCAUUUUCAAUAUACUUGGAGGCAGUAGCCAUUCUUCCCCAGUUAGUGUUACUCCAACGAAGUGGGAAUGUGGAUAAUUUGACAGGGCAAUAUGUUUUCUUUCUUGGGUAUGUAUAUGCAUAAUUUAUGGUAUAGCAGUUGGUUAUGUGUACAGGUUCCUGUUUUGUCAUAGGAGUCUGAACUAUCUGUGACUUUUUCUACUACUCGUGGAAAACAAAAUGUCAGUUUAUCUGCAUUAUGCAUUCUGCCUUUUGUUUCUGGUCUUGAAAUACCAAUCUUAUUUUUUGUUUUUCUUGCUGAUCAACUAUGGAAAAACAGUAAUAUACAAACAUGAAGACUCCAUCUGUUUGAAGUAUUUCUAGCUAAUACUGAAGCCACUCUCAUUAAUGGUUCUCUUUUAAAAUAUUGUAGUUAUUUAAAUUCUACUUUCUGCAUGAGCGCACACAUAAUUGGACGUGCUCAUGCCACCAUAUGUAAAUCACAUAUGCCCUCUAUUCUUGUAUAUGAUAUGGUUAGAAUAUCUCAUCUUGAUUUUCAUUGCAUCUUGGCACAUAAGAUGUAUGUUUUGAGUCCUUCCCUUUCUGUUGCACUCCCCCCUUUUUAUAUUUUCUUCUGAGCAAAUGUCUUCAUUCUCCAAUUGGGACCUUCUCUUGAGUUGAUUUUUGCAGAAAUUCUAUUUCAACUAUAGGCCCAGUGUAGAUAGACGAAUUCUUUAUAGCGUAGGGUGAGCCUGCAGAGCAUAUUCAUGUGAUAUUCUUUUUGUUUUACAAAUAUCUUUUCUUUCUUUGGUGCAAUUAGCUUGGAGACGGUUAAUUACUUAAACUCUGCUUGAUAUGUGGGAGAAUAUGAGAGAGAGAGAGCGGUAAUGGUGAACUUCUUAGUUUGCUCAUGGAAGGAGGAAUAUUUGGCUACCAAAUCAAUCCCCUGAAGGCCUGAAAUUGAAGCAAACUCUUCUUUUCCAUUUUAUACUUUUCUGGAUAAUCAUCAUUUUUUAUGUGGUAUGCUUGAUUGCCAUUUUCCAUAUAUGGUCUCUUCCAUAUAGAACUACAUUCAUGUCCUCUGCUGUCUGAACAGAACAUAAGUCCUAGGGAAAGAUAUGUAUUUACAAGGCAAUUAAUUUUGAAGGGAGAGGAUUUUUGAAGGUCGGGCAGUUAGAAUUAAGUCAUUGUUGACUUGGAUUAAGCAAUCAAUUUUUGAAGGCACUAUAAAAGCAGCAAUUUUUCUAUCUAGGUUUACUAUAAGUGAGCAUGAAAUUCCAUACGCAUGCUCUCUAGUGGACAUAAAAUGAUGUACUUAUACUUGAAUCCAUACUUCUCUAAGCAGUGUGUGGAUAGUUGUUUGUUCAUUCAAGCCUAUCUUGCAAUGUACUCACCAAACAAUAUGUUGUGUCUGCAGGGCUUAUCGUGCUUUCUACAUCCUCAACUGGAUUUACCGCUAUUUUGCAGAGACACAUUUUAGUAGAUGGAUAUGUAAGCUUAUUAAGAAUUGAAAUAAAGACUACUUGUCAGAGUUGUUGCUUUGGGUAUUUCUGUCCUGACUUCCAUUUCUUUCCAUUUAUUGCACAGCUUGCGUCUCUGGUCUCGUCCAGACAGCACUCUAUGCUGAUUUCUUUUACUACUACUUUAUUAGCUGGAAAAACAAUGCAAAGCUUCAGCUGCCAGCUUGAGCCAGACAUCAGUAUGUUGAAGUAUCAAACUUCAUGAACAAUCACUGCUAAAGUAUUAAGUUUUAGUCAAGUUGGCUGGUAUACCCAUUUGUGCCAGUUCAUAUUGUAUGGGUUUAAGAGGGUAAAGUUACAAUAGUUUAUGCCAAAUGUUGAUUAGGCUGGUGGGUUUGUUGGAAUUGCCCAUCUUAUAGGGACUAUUAGAUUAGAUCAAACACCCAUGUUGAUGUAAGGUGCUAAUUUUUAAUAGUAACAGCACCCUUCUGUUAACUUUUAAUUUGUCUCAUGAUGUUUAUUUGGGAGGGCAAAAUUCAGAUUUGAUUAACGUGAGGGUUGAAUUCAAUGAUGAUACAGUUAACUAAGUGGUAAGCAUUUGCAGAAUAGUUUUGUUACAUUA
rnacentral:misc_RNA from 1 species